GGGUUAAAAUUGAAAAAAAAUGUUACAUAAAAACAGUUUGUAAGAUUUUCUAACAGCAUAUAUGCAAAGUAUUUUGAUUUAUUUGAAAAUAAUUGAAAAUAGAUUUUUCAAGGACGGUGUCAAGGUCACGGGGUCGGUGUCGUUUUUCGAAAUUUGUUAACUUAAUAUAAUAGAAGAUGUUUCGUUUUAAAUUAAGAAAUGUUAAAAUUAUUAAGUUAAAAACAUUUGAUUUUAAUGACACUUAAAAUUAGACACAAUAUUAUAGGUUACUAACUAAAAAUUGAAAAAACAACAAUAAAUAAUAAAAAAAUAAUAAUAAAAAAUUGAAAAAAUCAAAAAAUUCUUAAAAAAUUGCAAAAUGACCCUUUUUUGGGUUAAAAUUGAAAAAAAUGUUACAUAAAAAUAGUUUGUAAGAUUUUCUAACAGCAUAUAUGCAAAGUAUUUUGAUUUAUUUGAAAAUAAUUGAAAAUAGAUUUUUCAAGGACGGUGUCGAGGUCACGGGGUCGGUGUCGUUUUUCGAAAUUUGUUAACUUAAUAUAAUAGAAGAUGUUUCGUUUUAAAAUAAGAAAUGUUAAAAUUAUUAAGUUAAAAACAUUUGAUUUUAAUGACACUUAAAAUUAGACACAAUAUUAUAGGUUACUAACUAAAAAUUGAAAAAACAACAAUAAAUAAUAAAAAAUAAUAAUAAAAAAUUGAAAAAAUCAAAAAAUUCUUAA